rfam:Gossypium raimondii Chr05_contig_207, whole genome shotgun sequence.
AUUCGUAUUCUUCCACAGCUUUCUUGAACUGCAAAUUCGUGUAAUCAGAUAACCUUUUAGUUGUUGUCGUUGACGGCGCUGCAUACAUACGAGUACAUUGUUGCAGUUCAAUAAAGCUGUGGGAAGAUACAAACA